UCUAUAAAAAUAUCUAUCAAAAUCUAUGGAUAAAAUAUUUUACAGAUUUCAUCGAAAUGGAAAACAUGUUUCAAGAAGAGGAUUUGAUGCACAAACAAAACCAAAACUUUAAGUAAUGGCUAUACUCAAGUAGAAACACAAGUUUUACAAGCUUCCAAGUUGGAGAUCGGAGAGGAGAGAACUUCAAACCAAGAAACGGGAGGUGGAACUUGUUAUCUAAUUGUCAGUUUUCUUAUUUAGAAAUUAUCAGGAGAUCUUUUCGAGUGCAGUGAAAUUAAAACAAUUAGUGCGCCUCGUGGAUGCUAAAGUUUCUUGGAUUCUGCAAUUCGUUGUAUCUCUCUUUCUUGACAGAAAGAAUUGAAUAAGGCACUUGCUGAAAUGGGAACUGUUAGCUAGUGCUUGGCUGCACUAUUAACCGUCAACGAUCAAUAUUUGACAAAUAUUUCGUUGAAGAUCAAUGUUAAGCUUGGAGGAUUAAAUUCAAUAUUACCAAGAAGAUAUUUUCUUUCAGUCCUAUCUGUUUUUGAUGCUACUACAAUGAUCAUUGGCAUUGAUUCCUCUUUGCACUCCCCAGGAGAAAGUAUUCCUUCAAGUGUAGUGGUUAUAGUGCACAAGGCAUAGGACAUAGUGCAUAGGGUAUAGGACAAAAUACAUAGGGCUUAAGGUAUAGGACAUAGGGAAUAGUUCAUAGAACGUAGUAUAUAGGGCUAAGGCAUAGGUCAUAGGACAUAGGGAGAGCUUAGUUGACAUUAGAGGCUUAGGUCAAAGUAAGGUUAGGGUAUAGGCUUUAGAGUACUAGGACUUAUGACUUGGGUCAUAAACCUUAGGACUUAUUUAUAGUGGGACUUGAGUUCAAAUUUCUUCUCGAAGUUAUUAUUCUUUUGCUAGAUUGUUUUGCUGUUGUUUUAUUAUUAAAAUUACUUACACAUUUUUGCUCUAUAAAUAUUUCUGUCAAAAUCUAUGGAUCAAAUAUUUUACAGAUUUCAUCGAAAUGGAAAAUCAUGUUUCAAGAAGAGGAUUUGAUGCACAAACAAAACCAAAACUUUAAGUAAUAGCUAUACUCAAGUAGAAACACAAGUUUUACAAGCUUCCAAGUUGGAGAUCGGAGAUGGGAGAAAUUCAAACCAAGAAACGGGAGAUAAAACUUAUGUCUUCUGCCUGAUGUGCUGCACAAGGAUUUCGAGAAGAGGAUUUGAUGCACAAACAGAACCAAAACUUUAAGUAAUGGCUAUACUCAAGUAGAAACACAAGUUUUACAAGCUUUCGAGUUGGAGAUCGGAGAGGGGAGAACUUCAAACCAAGAAAUGGGAGAUAGAGCUUAUGUCUUCUGCCUGAUGUGCUACACAAGGAUUUGUAGGAGAUCUUUUCAAGUGCAGUGAAAUUAAAACAAUUAUCUUUGCAAUAAAUAUGUUCCACCUAAUCUCAGAGUGUGCCUCGUGGAUGCUAAAGUUUCUUGGAUUCUGCAAUUCGUUGUAUUUCUCUUUCUUGACAGAAAGAAUUGAAUAAGGUACUUGCUGAAAUAGGGACUAUUGUCGAGUGUUGCCUCUACCAUUAACUAUCAACGAUCAAUAUUUAUCAAAUGUUUGGAUGAAGAUCAAUGUUAAGUUUGAUGGAUUGAAUUCAAUAUUACCAAGAGAAGGUUUUCUUUCCGUCCAAUUUGUUUCUGAUGCUCCUACCCUGAUCAUUGGCAUUGAUGCGCGUAUGAGCUCCCCAAGACAAACUAUUCCAUCAAGUCUAGUAGUCAUAGGGCAUAGGGCAUAGGGCAUAGGACAGAGGGCAGAGGGUAUAGGGCAUAGUGCAGAGAGGAUAGGAAAUAGUACAUUGGGCAUAAGACAGAGGACAUAGGAGGGCUUAGUGAACGUUAAAGGCUUUGGUCAAAGUAAGGUUAGGGUAUAGGAGUACUAGGACUUAUGACUUAGGUCAUAAAGCUUAGGAAAUAGUUAUAGUGGGACUUGAGUUCAUAUUUCUUCUUGAAGUUAUUUUUGCUUUUGCUAGAUGGUUUUGUUGUUGUUGAUGUUUUAUUUUUA